rnacentral:misc_RNA from 1 species
GAUGAAGAACGUAGCGAAAUGCGAUAAGUAAUGUGAAUUGCAGAAUUCAGUGAAUCAUCGAAUCUUUGAACGCACAUUGCGCCCGCCAGUAUUCUGGCGGGCAUGCCUGUCUGAGCGUCAUUUCAACCCUCAUGCCCCUAGGGCGUGGUGUUGGGGAUCGGCCAAAGCCCGCGAGGGACGGCCGGCCCCUAAAUCUAGUGGCGGACCCGUCGUGGCCUCCUCUGCGAAGUAGUGAUAUUCCGCAUCGGAGAGCGAUGAGCCCCUGCCGUUAAACCCCCAACUUUCCAAGGUUGACCUCAGAUCAGGUAGGAAUACCCGCUGGACUUAAGCAUAUCAAUAAGCGGAGGA